rnacentral:rRNA from 1 species
AACGAACGCUGGCGGCAUGCUUAACACAUGCAAGUUGAACGAGAAAGCUCUUCGGAGUGAUUAGAGUGGCGCACGGGUGAGUAACGAAUAGGAACAUACCUUUAGGUGGGGAAUAACCACGGGAAACUGUGGCUAAUACCGCAUAUCAACUUCGGUUGAAAGGGGGCCUCUACUUGUAAGCUCUCGCCUAGAGAUUGGCCUAUUUCCCAUUAGCUUGUUGGUGGGGUAAAAGCCUACCAAGGCUGCGAUGGGUAGCUGGUCUGAGAGGAUGAUCAGCCACACUGGAACUGAGACACGGUCCAG